GACGAACGCUGGCGGCGUGCUUAACACAUGCAAGUCGAACGGAAACACCCUGCUUUCACGGUUCGCGAGUGGCGAACGGGUGAGUAACACAUGGGUGCUCUCCCCUUCACUGCGGGUUACACCUGGAAAACUGUGUCUAUUCCCCGUACGGAGCCAGGGGUAAUGCGGGGGUUGGAAAGUCUUUUCGGUGUUGGAGUAGCUGGUGGCCUAUCAGCUAGUUGGUGGGGUAAUGGCCUACCAAGGCGACGACGGGUAGCUGGACUGAGAGGCUGGUAGGCCACAUUGGGUCCUAGGGAAGGCAGAGACUCCUAUGGGAGGCAGCAGUGGGGAAUCUUGAACAAUGGGCGCAAGCCUGAUGCAGCGACGCCGCGUGGGGGAUAACGGCCUUGGGGUUGUAAACUCCUUUCGCUAGGGACGAAGCUUUUUGUGACGGUACCUAGAGAAGAAGCACCGGCUAACUACGUG
rnacentral:rRNA from 1 species